GCGCCCAUAGCUCAACUGGAUAGAGCGUCUGGCUACGGACCAGAAGGUUGUGGGUUCGACCCCUGCUGGGCGCG
rnacentral:tRNA from 1 species